rnacentral:rRNA from 1 species
GAUGAACGCUGACCGAAUGCUUAACACAUGCAAGUCUUUGGUGAAGCUGUGCUUGCACAGCCUAGCCAAGGCGGACGGGUGAGUAACGCGUAAGGAACUUGCCCUGCAGUCAGGGAUAACAGACGGAAACGACUGAUAAGACCUGGUAAAGUCAGGCGGACUCAUGUCCAGCCUGAUGAAAAGAGAUGCUGCAGGAGAGCCUUGCGUCCUAUUAGCUUGUUGGUGGGGUAACGGCCCACCAAGGCAAUGAUAGGUAGCCGGCCUGAGAGGGUGGACGGCCACAAGGGGACUGAGAUACGGCCCUUACUCCUACGGGAGGCAGCAGUGGGGAAUAGUGGACAAUGGGGGCAACCCUGAUCCAGCAAUUCUGUGUGCACGAUGAAGGUUUUCGGAUUGUAAAGUGCUUUCAGCAGGGAAGAAAAAAAUGACGGUACCUGCAGAAGAAGCGACGGCUAAAUACGUG